rnacentral:lncRNA from 1 species
GUUGUAGUUGAAUUGUUUUAUACGAUUUUCGAUUACUGAAGAAAGAUACCGAAUAUUUUUCUAGCAGCUUUCUUUCGUCUAAACCACGUUUGCAAUGAGAAUAGUAAAAGUUGUCGAUAACUUCAAGAUAAUCUUGUAACUUGACUUUUGAUCUUCACGUUCUUCCCAGAGAAAAUUAUAAAAAAAAAAUUGUUUGUUGUUAGUUGGACUGUGCAAGUUGUAUUUGUUGUUGACUUUAACGUCAUAUAGUCCUGAAAAGGAAAGUGGGGAGUUAAUGCGUAGGUUACACUGUCAACGGCUUAACACCACUGUGGUCUUUGGUUUUUUAUAUUUGUUUCAUUUUUUUUUUAUUAGAUUCGGGAGAUGAACUAGCUGGUGGUUUGUGUUGUCAAUUUUACAGUUUGAUAUUUUAGGGAAUUAGUUAAUGAACAAUGAUAAAAUCAUACAUAGUAGAGAGCAACCAUUCAACUUCAAGGUGGGUUCUGGGUUUUAUGAGUCAGAAUUUGAUUUUAGCUGAUUAGUCUUUUGUAACUGACACACACACACAGAUACGAUAUGAUACAUACAUUGUUUUUUUUCAGAUAUGAGCG